rnacentral:rRNA from 1 species
CAUGCCCUACGGGGGGCAGCAGUGGGGAAUAUUGCACAAUGGGGGAAACCCUGAUGCAGCGACGCCGCGUGAGUGAAGAAGUAUUUCGGUAUGUAAAGCUCUAUCAGCAGGGAAGAAAAAAGACGGUACCUGACUAAGAAGCCCCGGCUAACUACGUGCCAGCAGCCGCGGUAAUACGUAGGGGGCAAGCGUUAUCCGGAUUUACUGGGUGUAAAGGGAGCGCAGGCGGCGUGGCAAGUCAGAUGUGAAAACCCGGGGCCCAACCCCGGGAGGGCAUUUGAAACUGCCAUGCUGGUGUGCCGGAG